GUCCCCAGCUGUCAGUUGCACGCUGAGAGAGAAAAGGCCCUGCAAAGUAAUGGAUCCCUGUGCUGGAAGAUGUCGACAACUCAAGAUAAGAAAGCUGAGCCCAAGAGAUGAUAAGUUAUGAGUCUGCCCGGUUUCACUGUCUACAGUUUGCUGCCUUGCUUAGAGAUGGCCUGUCUCCUUGACCAUGUAUGAAUCUUUCUCUAGUGCAGAUAUCAGGAAUCUGAAUUUCCGGGGCAUAACGUGUGCACAGAUGCAGCUUCAACAGAUUCAUCAUAUCAUCCCCUUCAGAGCUGCUGUGACAGUUUACACCAGAUUAACUCUCAGUUUCCAGAAAAAGAGGAAACUCUGGCCUAGAAACUGGAAGCGCCAGAAUCAGUCCCAGUUUCCCAGUUCACAGUCUCACCCACUUCCCUCCACAUACUCUCCAUAACGAGACUACAUUCCAGUCCUACACUAAGGUUUCACAAAUGCUGGAGUUGAUGGGGCAAUGGUUAACAUUCAUUAAGUGAGAGCCAAAGGCCAAGCAGUGCUAAUCUUCCAUUGAAUGGGCCCUGCAGCUACUGGCAGUGGGUUUUAAUUGGGUUUUCUAUUAAAGCAAUUUUCUCCUCAGUGAUUUAUCAUAAAGAAAUGACACAAUUAAGUCUCAUUUGGAAACACUAAUGAAUUAUUUAGCAUGGACCAGGCAAAAAGAAAACAUGACCUCCAUUAGCCUCAUC
rnacentral:lncRNA from 1 species